AUGAACGCUGGCGGCGUGCCUAAUACCUGCAAGUCGAGCGCACAGACGAGGAGCUUGCUCCUCUGACGUUAGCGGCGGACGGGUGAGUAACACGUGGAUAACCUACCUAUAAGACUGGGAUAACUUCGGGAAACCGGAGCUAAUACCGGAUAAUAUAUUGAACCGCAUGGUUCAAUAGUGAAAGACGGUUUUGCUGUCACUUAUAGAUGGAUCCGCGCCGCAUUAGCUAGUUGGUAAGGUAACGGCUUACCAAGGCAACGAUGCGUAGCCGACCUGAGGGGGUGAUCGGCCACACUGGAACUGAGACACGGUCCAGACUCCUACGGGAGGCAGCAGUAGGGAAUCUUCCGCAAUGGGCGAAAGCCUGACGGAGCAACGCCGCGUGAGUGAUGAAGGUCUUCGGAUCGUAAAACUCUGUUAUUAGGGAAGAACAAAUGUGUAAGUAACUAUGCACGUCUUGACGGUACCUAAUCAGAAAGCCACGGCUAACUACGUG
rnacentral:rRNA from 1 species